rnacentral:rRNA from 1 species
CCUACGGGGGGCAGCAGUGGGGAAUAUUGGACAAUGGGGGCAACCCUGAUCCAGCCAUGCCGCGUGUGUGAAGAAGGCCCUCGGGUUGUAAAGCACUUUCAGUGAGGAAGAACGCCUGGUGGUUAAUACCCAUCAGGAAAGACAUCACUCACAGAAGAAGCACCGGCUAACUCCGUGCCAGCAGCCGCGGUAAUACGGAGGGUGCGAGCGUUAAUCGGAAUUACUGGGCGUAAAGCGCGCGUAGGUGGCUUGAUAAGCCGGUUGUGAAAGCCCCGGGCUCAACCUGGGAACGGCAUCCGGAACUGUCAAGCUAGAGUGCAGGAGAGGAAGGUAGAAUUCCCGGUGUAGCGGUGAAAUGCGUAGAGAUCGGGAGGAAUACCAGUGGCGAAGGCGGCCUUCUGGACUGACACUGACACUGAGGUGCGAAAGCGUGGGUAGCAAACAGGAUUAGAUACCCGGGUAGUC